rnacentral:lncRNA from 1 species
AUGCCGUUCAGCCUCAGCUCGUGCAGCCCCACAGCACACAGGGCCUGGCAGUCAGCGAGGAGCCCCGCGCGCUGUGUGCAGUGUAGCUGCUGUCUGCUUUUUAUAAAUUCCUCCCGAAGCAGAUUGCUAAUUGCUCCUGAUUUCUGCUCUUCUAAAAUAAGCUCAGACUGCAAUCUGCAUAGAUGCUGCAGAAGGACUAAUGAACUGCCCGCCCACCUGAAGCUCCAGCAAGGCGCAGCAUGUGGGCACGGCUCCUGCCGGCCACCGGGGCCAGCCCCGCGUGGACACCUCGCAGCGCACGGUGCGGCCCCUCGAGGACCCAGCGAGGUCAGGGAGUGCGGGGAAGAACCCCACGCUGAUGCCAAAUUGGCUGCGCCCUGCGUGCAGCACAACACCCCUGGCUUGUGUCAGCUGGUGCCGGGGGGCUCUGAGCACCCACGGCUCUGCUGCUGCCCCUGGUCCCUGCGACGCACUGGGAGGCUGAAGGGGCACGCGGGCACCGCUCUCUGCAAAGCCAUGGGUUUUAUCAAGGGUAGAGCAGUGCUGGAAGUGAAGACUAGAAGGAUGCACAGGAACCCGCAUCGCCGAGAGCAGGCUGGGGCAGCACGGGGAGGCUCGGCGGUGGCACGGCCCCGCAGGGAAAGCGAGCUGUGUGCCGCGGGGCUGAGCCUUGCGCUGCAGGUUGUGGCUGCAGACGGUGGCACCGAGCAGCAGGCGUGGUUAUGGACACAAACCUCACUGCAAACAAACCCCUCACGCAGCACAUCUCAUGACUGUAUCGCCAGAUACUCUUCCACAGCAAAAGCACAUCAAAACACUGCUUUCCCUUUAUCUUCCCGAAUUGUCAGCUGCGACUGUGACAACCUCAACGCACACCCACCACUUAGCACGAAGGCACACUGCUCCAAAAUCCCUGCCAGCCAUCUCCACUGCCAAACACAGGAACACCACCAAUUCCUCCAUUUACCUCCCUGCAGGAGGACCAAGCUGUUUUCCAGCCAUUAA